rnacentral:rRNA from 1 species
UAGUCAUACUCAUUUGACGUUUAGCUUGCAGAAGUAAGCACCGGCUAACUCCGUGCCUAGCAGCCGCGGUAAUACGGAGGGUGCGAGCGUUAAUCGGAAUUUACUGGGCGUUAAAGCGCUAUGCAGGUGGUUUGUUAAGUCAGAUGUGAAAGUCCCGGGCUCAACCUCGGAAUUGCAUUUGAAACUGGCAAACUAGAGUACUGUAGAGGGGGUAGAAUUUCAGGUGUAGCGGUGAAAUGCGUAGAGAUCUGAAGGAAUACCGGUGGCGAAGGCGGCCCCCCUGGACAGAUACUGACACUCAGAUGCGAAAGCCGUGGGGACGCAAACAGGACUUUAGACUACCCCUGGUAG